rnacentral:tRNA from 1 species
GGGGUUGUGGCUCAGUGGUAGAGCACUUGCCUACCAUGCAGAAAGCACUGGAUUCAAUCCACAGCACCA